rnacentral:lncRNA from 1 species
GGGGUGUCCCUGGGUCAUUCCAGCAAGCUGCUGUGCCGGGGUCUCAGUCUCUGGCCCUGGUUUUAUGGGCUCCUGGCAUGAAGCUCUAGCGCUGUCAUGGUAGAGGCUUGGCUCUUUUGGGGCGGUUCUUGUUACGAUGGGGGCCAACGACAACUGGGUCCUUGCGUUGGAAGGACCCUAACCCGUUCCAGAGCUCCCACGCCUUGUGGGGUUCCUGUGUCACUUCUGGGGCUUCUUCACUGGCAAUCCUUGGGAUCCAGCCAUGUCCUGAUAUGUGACAUUUGCCA